GAAAUCUGUGAAACUAUAAAUGACAAUAUGACGUCUCCAUCUUCCAUCUCCAAAUCAUCGGCAGUUUUCUUCGGAUCUACAUGACACCAUCCGUUUUCAGCAUUUUAACGAAAUUUGGUAUUCUCGUAGAAAAGAGAAGUACGAUCUGCAUAGUCAAGAACUAGAUAUUCUAGCGGCGUGCUUCGCCCAAUCAAAUACAUCAAGUGAUGAUUAGUUCCAAAUGGACCCACUUUCAAAUUAAUCGGCUUCUCUCCUUUGGCCGGCGGCAGGGAUAUCAGUGCUGGCGAAUACAUCACGUCGAAUAACAUCAAUGGAAUCACCAUCUUCCAUCGCCAAACGGUUGGCUGAAAAUGAUUAGAUUCUUCAACCGCCUUGAUCUUAUUGUUGGGAUUCUUCCUUUUCUUUAGUUCAUUUGCUGCCCUUGCCAAUUAACAGGCCUUUUGCAGAUCUCUUUUAGCUCACUUUAGUAACUAUGUUGUUUGUAGCCAAUCUCCUCAGUAUAGUCGUAUGCUUUAACACCGUGAAUUGCUGGGUCCUCCUCCUAUAUUCUCAGGCUUGAAUAUGAGAUAUUAUUUUUUAUGGAGGAAGAUUUUGAUUGGGGUAUGGACCUAUGGAUAGGUUAAUUGCGAUUGCUGCAAGAGGAGGGAUGGAGACUUUGAGGGCUGCUUUAUAAAGGUUAUACAUGACAGGAGCUUCUGCAUAUAGAGAUGCUCUUAAGAGUUUCAUAGAAGGAUAUCAAGAAGGUAUGCAGCAGAUCAUGGGUAAAAAGGAAGAUUCUUCUAAAGCACAGCAAGAAGGCAAUACUGAUAAAAAUUCAACUUGAUAGCUGAUAAGUGCAUAAUUGGAGAUGCAUGUGAGUACUUCUCCAGCAUACCUAUUGUAGAUACAAGUUUAGAAAUUUGGUGGAGCUGGGUUGGCAUGAAAUCACAAGAAUGAUAUAUGUCCUGAGAAUUUUCCUGUAUUGAGAAAGUGACCUUUAGAAACUACAAAUAUAAUGGGAAUCUCCAUUGACAACGGUGAUGCUCUUUCAUUCUUGUCAUUUCAUGUUUAUUAAUUUUUGUUAUAGUUUAGUAUUCAACGUGCUUGAUCUUGGAUAAAUGUAAAAGAACCUUAAUGCUUUAUGUCUUUGUUAAGUGCAACUGAAGAAUUACUUAGAUAUCUGCUGCCAGCUGCUUGAUGAUCUCGUUUGAUGAA